ACAGGGGGUGCAAACGUUGCUCGGAAUUAUUGGGCGUAAUGCGCGCGUAGGUGGUGACUCAAGUCGGAUGUGAAAGCCCUUGGCUUAACCGAGGAAGUGCAUCCGAAACUGAGUCGCUAGAGUACGAAAGAGGGUCGCGGAAUUCCCGGUGUAGAGGUGAAAUUCGUAGAUAUCGGGAGGAACACCGGUGGCGAAGGCGGCGACCUGGGUCGAUACUGACACUG
rnacentral:rRNA from 1 species